CUUCUUAUUCGAUAGAUAGAAUGGAGGUGUAGAUACAUCCGUAUUAUCUAAUGGGAUGUAUAAGAAUAAUCCAUUCGAGAAUCAGAAGAGUGUAUCAAAAUAUACUCCUUUGUGUCAGUUUAAACUUGAGGUAAAAAAGAUGGGUACAAGGGGAUCAAAAUUUAAUCUAACCAUCCAAUAGAUGAGCCAGAAAUAUUUAUAGUUCUGUAUUUUCGAAUGAAACAUAUAAGAAUAAUCCGUUCG
rnacentral:lncRNA from 1 species